UAGGAUUUCCUGAAAAAAUGGGAU
rnacentral:snRNA from 1 species